rnacentral:rRNA from 1 species
AUACGGAGGGAGCAAGCGUUAUGCGGAAUCACUGGGCGUAAAGGACGCGUAGGCGGGUUUGUAAGUCAGGUGUGAAAUCCUACAGCUCAACUGUAGAACUGCACUUGAAACUACAGACCUAGAGUAUGGAAGGGGCAGAUGGAAUUAGUGGUGUAGGGGUAAAAUCCGUAGAUAUCACUAGGAAUACCGAAAGCGAAGGCGAUCUGCUGGGACAUUACUGACGCUGAGGCGUGAAAGCGUGGGGAGCAAACAGGAUUAGAAACCCCAGUAGUCC